UUUGACAACACCGCCCGUCACACCAUGGAAGCUGGUAGUGCCCGAAGUCAUUACUCCAACCUUUCGGGGAGGAGGAUGCCUAAGGCAGGACUGGUGACUGGGGUGAAGUCGUAACAAGGUAGCCGUACCGGAAGGUGUGGCUGGAUCACCUCCUUUUUAGGGAGACCUACACCCCUCAGAGAUUGAAAAACACACAGUUAUAUAGAUACUGAGAUGGUCUAACCUAGGUCGGUCGAGAUUGGUAUAUAGCUUUCAAAGUAUUACUGGUUCGGUAGAUAAGAACGAUUUAUAACAGCAAGAGAAAUCAGCAACAUGACGCUUGUGUCAGACUGCUGAGAUUAGACUCAGCCAGAACCUUGAAAACUGCAUAGUAACGCGAAAUUAGCAGGCAGACACAGACAUUCUUUUAGAGAUGUUGUUGUGAAUGCAAUUGUUUAACACCAAAUGUAUGAGUGGUCAAGCUAAUAAGGGCUAACGGUGGAUACCUAGGCACACAGAGA
rnacentral:misc_RNA from 1 species